rnacentral:rRNA from 1 species
AGAGUUUGAUCCUGGCUCAGGACGAACGCUGGCGGCGUGCCUAACACAUGCAAGCCGAGCGGGGAACUUCGGUUUCCAGCGGCGGACGGGUGAGUAACACGUGGGUAACCUGCCUUGUAGAGGGGGAUAGCCUUCCGAAAGGAAGAUUAAUACCGCAUAACAUUAUUUCUUCGCAUGAAGAGAUAAUCAAAGGAGUAAUCCGCUACAAGAUGGACCCGCGGCGCAUUAGCUAGUUGGUGAGGUAACGGCUCACCAAGGCGACGAUGCGUAGCCGGCCUGAGAGGGUGAACGGCCACAUUGGAACUGAGACACGGUCCAGACUCCUACGGGAGGCAGCAGUGGGGAAUAUUGCACAAUGGGCGAAAGCCUGAUGCAGCAACGCCGCGUGAGUGAUGAAGGCCUUCGGGUUGUAAAGCUCUGUCUUCUGGGACGAUAAUGACGGUACCAGAGGAGGAAGCCACGGCUAACUACGUGCCAGCAGCCGCGGUAAUACGUAGGUGGCAAGCGUUGUCCGGAUUUACUGGGCGUAAAGGAUGCGUAGGCGGAUGCUUAAGUCAGAUGUGAAAAUCCCGAGCUUAACUUGGGAACUGCGUUUGAAACUGGGUAUCUAGAGUGCGGGAGAGGAGAGUGGAAUUCCUAGUGUAGCGGUGAAAUGCGUAGAGAUUAGGAAGAACACCAGUGGCGAAGGCGACUCUCUGGACCGUAACUGACGCUGAGGCAUGAAAGCGUGGAGAGCAAACAGGAUUAGAUACCCUGGUAGUCCACGCCGUAAACUAUGAAUACUAGGUGUGGGAGUUGUCAUGACUUCCGUGCCGCAGUUAACACAAUAAGUAUUCCGCCUGGGGAGUACGGUCGCAAGAUUAAAACUCAAAGGAAUUGACGGGGGCCCGCACAAGCAGCGGAGCAUGUGGUUUAAUUCGAAGCAA